GGCACCACCUGCAACUUCAACUCUAGGCGGCAUGAAGUCAUCAUCAUCGGAGUCAGCAACGUUCCGAACCAUGGUGGUGCAAAUGCAAGAGAAGACGUGAGUGGAACCUGAAUACGCGAGUUUUCAUAAAUACAUGGAGAUUUCAUGAAUAAAAAAGUAGAUUAUAUGAGUUAAUCUAGUAUCACAUUCAAAACAAGUUGUCGAGUCAGAAAAAAUGGCACCAACCUACACACUUGGACUGCAAUCCUUGAAAAAAACAUUUAAAAAUGCCAUACAUAACGAAUGGGUCGACCAUGAUGUUUUGAUGUAAGGUAUGAAGAAACAUUUGUGCACGGAAGGGAAGUUGCCACCCAACAAAACAGUUGAAUGAAACAAAAUCUAUGGGUUAUGAUCAUUGAAAGAGAAAAUAUGAUGACUAUGGUAGGCAAAAUUUGCGUUAAACAUUGUAAAGAGUUGCCAUACAUGAAGGACUGUGUACUGAACAUUGAACUUUCCAUGUACAAAACAAACAUCGGAAAAUGGUGCAUCAGCUUGGGUGCAUGUGUCACCUGGAAGAAUGGCACUUGGAAGUUGACAUCUAAAAAUUUCAACCAGUAUAGUUGCCAUCUUAAAAAAGUCAAAGAGUAAAGUAUGCCAUCUUAUUUUGUGUGUGGCACUAAAGUUGCCAUCCAAAUCUGAAUCAAGUGCACCAAUUGUGACAACUGGGCAAUGAGUGGUACAAAAAAUGGAAAAUGGUGCCAUCUAGCUGUCGGAUAAGUCGUGUUCACAAUGUGACAUUUGCAGAAGGAUGCCAUCCAAAUCACUAUGUAGUUGAAGGAAAAAUUUCCACCAAUAUAACAAUUCUCUGAAAUUUUCCGGAAUUCUCUAAAAAAUGAUAGUGUCAUGAAGGAUCCUUUUUCAUGCACAAAAGAAGGUGUGUGAAUGAAUUGUAAACUGAGAAUGUCAAAACUUGCCAUCCACAGCAUCACGAUUCAUACUGGCAAAAAACACGCAUGGCUUUCAAUAUGCAGUGCACUAACUAUCUAUUGCAACAAAAUCCUCGUUGUCUACAUCGACAGUAAUCUCUGGAGCAAAUCACAUCUGUUCUAAUCAGAAAUUUGUAGAUCUACCAUAUGAACGCAUUCACAAAGGUACAACAUUCACACACCAUAGAAAGAUGCCGGAUGCCAACUAACCUCGCCGAGGAGAAGAUGCUUCUACAGUCGCCGGAGAUGAUAUCCGCCGACGAGGAACUUUGGUGAGUAAGCGCUUCUACAACGUGCCCUGCCGGAGAUCCUCGGCGCCUCGCAGACCACCAGACCGGUCGACUAGAGAACUUCCACCAGACGAAGUAGGCGACUCAGCGGCACAGUUCGCAGGCGACUGACAACUACGGCGGCCGACUGAGAUCCAUCCGCUCUCAACCCCUCGCCGAUGACUCGCCGGAGACAAUGAAGGGGCGCGGGUGGAUUGGAACUGACCCAACGAGGGGAGGGGGAGGGGAAUGCGGUUGGAGAUGGGAGCGAAUGUGAUGUAGG
rnacentral:lncRNA from 1 species